GCCAAACACGGAGGGUUUGAUUUUCUUCCACUAUCCACUGCUUAAAUUGAACACGUCAAUCUUAUCACCAAAUGAUCUUCAGGAUUUCAAUCUCCCAUUGCUGGAAUCAGUGUGGGCUCUCAUUUCCCUACAUCCCGCAUCUAAAAAUGGCAUUGGGCAGUGCAGACUGGACUGCCACAGAAAAUGGGACUGCUGUUCUGCUUCUCCCUUCAGUUUUUCUUCAAACGUGGGCAUCACUGGAGCUGGUGCAGAGCCAAGGAAAUGAACUGGAAAUGGGAAUAACCAGGCAACAGACAUUGUGUUUUCAUCCCCUUUUGCCUCUUUGAGAAAGAAGACAAAAGUGCUGUUGUGAACGGCUAAAGUUCACCCACUAAAUCUCAGGACCUUUGGCGAUUAAAAAAGGGACCUUCAAUUUUUGAAGGCUAAAUUACCUCAAGAGCCAGUAAAUUAGGGUAAAAUAAAGAUACUUGUGGCCCAUAAAAAAUCGCCUUGGGACUGAACUUGCUCUUAUGUCUAGCCAACUGGCAAGGGAUAAGUUGGAUAGGAGAGAGCACAAGAAGUGGAUUUUCUUCGGUGCUUGAAUACCAAAAGCAGAAUGACAUCUCAAUCGCUGACUGAAAUCUGAAGCCAGGGCUGUGGGAAAAUAAAAUAAACUCUUCACAUCGAA